ensembl:lincRNA
CUGCCAACUAUCUCCUGGGUAUCCUUUCCCCAUUGAAAUUUUGCCAGAAAAACAGUGAUUUAUUUAGGUGAUUAGCUCUUCCCUACAUGACUCUAGGAGUGUGACAUUUUCCGUACAAUACCGUGGAUUAGGUCUUGGUGUCAUACUGGUCUGAUUCUUCUUUUACUGCGACCCACUGACGUCCAUUGGAUUCAAGGAGAAGUGUGUUGUUUGGCUCCUAGCUGCAUUCCAAGCACCCAGAGUAUUUUUGGCAUGUAUCAGGGGCCCAAUAAAACACUGGAAUGAACGAAUGGGAAGUGUUGAAGAGUCUUCCGUUUUACAGUGCGACUUCACAUGGAACAGCUUUUCCUGGACAGUGCUGAGCCUGGGUGUGACGCCAGAUGUCGAGGCCGCCUUGCUGCCUGCCACUGACAGUUAUCCCUCACUGAAUUCGUGA